rnacentral:rRNA from 1 species
UCCCCUAGUAGCGGCGAGCGAAGCGGGAAGAGCUCAAAUUUAUAAUCUGGCACUUUCGGUGUCCGAGUUGUAAUCUCUAGAAAUGUUUUCCGCGUUGGACCGCACACAAGUCUGUUGGAAUACAGCGGCAUAGUGGUGAGACCCCCGUAUAUGGUGCGGACGCCCAGCGCUUUGUGAUACAUUUUCGAAGAGUCGAGUUGUUUGGGAAUGCAGCUCAAAUUGGGUGGUAAAUUCCAUCUAAAGCUAAAUAUUGGCGAGAGACCGAUAGCGAACAAGUACCGUGAGGGAAAGAUGAAAAGCACUUUGGAAAGAGAGUUAACAGUACGUGAAAUUGUUGGAAGGGAAACGCUUGAAGUCAGACUUGCUUGCCGAGCAAUCGGUUUGCAGGCCAGCAUCAGUUUUCCGGGAUGGAUAAUGGUAGAGAGAAGGUAGCAGUUUCGGCUGUGUUAUAGCUCUCUGCUGGAUACAUCUUGGGGGACUGAGGAACGCAGUGUGCCUUUUGGCGGGGGUUUCGACCUCUUCACACUUAGGAUGCUGGUGGAAUGGCUUUAAACGACCCGUCUUGAAACACGGACCAAGGAGUCUAACAUGCUUGCGAGUAUUUGGGUGUCAAACCCGGAUGCGUAAUGAAAGUGAAUGGAGGUGGGAACCGCAAGGUGCACCAUCGACCGAUCUGGAUUUUUAAUGAUGGAUUUGAGUAAGAGCACGUAUGUUGGGACCCGAAAGAUGGUGAACUAUGCCUGAAUAGGGCGAAGCCAGAGGAAACUCUGGUGGAGGCUCGUAGCGGUUCUGACGUGCAAAUCGAUCGUCAAAUUUGGGUAUAGGGGCGAAAGAC